GGAGGCGCUCAAAGGUUCCCUCAGAAUGGUUGGAAAUCAUUCAUAGAGUGUAAAGGCAUAAGGGAGCUUGACUGCGAGACCUACAAGUCGAGCAGGGUCGAAAGACGGACUUAGUGAUCCGGUGGUUCCGCAUGGAAGGGCCAUCGCUCAACGGAUAAAAGCUACCCCGGGGAUAACAGGCUUAUCUCCCCCAAGAGUUCACAUCGACGGGGAGGUUUGGCACCUCGAUGUCGGCUCAUCGCAUCCUGGGGCUGUAGUCGGUCCCAAGGGUUGGGCUGUUCGCCCAUUAAAGCGGUACGCGAGCUGGGUUCAGAACGUCGUGAGACAGUUCGGUCCCUAUCCGUCGUGGGCGUAGGAAAUUUGAGAGGAGCUGUCCUUAGUACGAGAGGACCGGGAUGGACAUACCUCUGGUGUACCAGUUGUCGUGCCAACGGCAUAGCUGGGUAGCUAUGUGUGGACGGGAUAAGUGCUGAAAGCAUCUAAGCAUGAAGCCCCCCUCAAGAUGAGAUUUCCCAACUUCGGUUAUAAGAUC
rnacentral:rRNA from 1 species